rnacentral:sRNA from 1 species
UAAGAGAUUUGCCAUUGGUAGUUUUGGC